rnacentral:rRNA from 1 species
UACGUAGGGGGCGAGCGUUGUCCGGAAUCAUUGGGCGUAAAGCGCGUGUAGGCGGCCCGGUAAGUCCGCUGUGAAAGUCCAGGGCUCAACCCUGGGAUGCCGGUGGAUACUGUCGGGCUCGAGUCCGGAAGAGGCGAGUGGAAUUCCUGGUGUAGCGGUGAAAUGCGCAGAUAUCAGGAGGAACACCGGUGGCGAAGGCGGGUCUCUGGGCCGAUACUGACGCUGAGGAGCGAAAGCAUGGGUAGCGAACAGG